GACGAACGCUGGCGGCGUGCUUAACACAUGCAAGUCGAACGGAAAGGCCCUGCUUUUGUGGGGUGCUCGAGUGGCGAAAGGGUGAGUAACACGUGAGACACCUGCCCUUGACUUUGGGAUAACUUCAGGAAACUGGGGCUAAUACCGGAUAGGAGCUCCUGCUGCAUGGUGGGGGUUGGAAAGUUUCGGCGGUUGGGGAUGGACUCGCGGCUUAUCAGCUUGUUGGUGGGGUAGUGGCUUACCAAGGCUUUGACGGGUAGCCGGCCUGAGAGGGUGACCGGCCACAUUGGGACUGAGAUACGGCCCAGACUCCUACGGGAGGCAGCAGUGGGGAAUAUUGCACAAUGGGCGGAAGCCUGAUGCAGCAACGCCGCGUGCGGGAUGACGGCCUUCGGGUUGUAAACCGCUUUCGCCUGUGACGAAGCGUGAGUGACGGUAAUGGGUAAAGAAGCACCGGCUAACUACGUG
rnacentral:rRNA from 1 species